UUCUGCGACUGCCCUGGCCUGCCCAGCUCUUUUGUCUUUCCUGUCAACAGUGAGUCAUAUUAAUUAUCAGUUCAAUUUCCUUGAAGGACAGCUGACAGCCACCUCUGCCUGCAUCGCCUAAUGUUGUCUACUGGAUUAGUGGCCAGUGAAGCUGCCAGACCUGGAACCUGGGCAUCCAGAAAGAAGAUCUCGAUAGAAAGGAAAUAAAAACAGAAGCAAGGAGACCAGCUAAGGAGGCUGUUGUGGUAACUCAGAAGAAGGAUGAUGAUGGCCUGAAUUAAAGUAGAUGGAAAGAGGUAGAUGGACUUAAGAGACAUUUACUUAGGAGGAAGAAUCAAUUGUCAGGAACUGGCGAUCGAUAGAACAUAAA
rnacentral:lncRNA from 1 species